GGGCCCGGGGGGCCCGGAGCAGUUUCCAGUGGCCAGGGGUACGCGCGGCCGGAGGGGCGCCGGGGCCGUACUCACCGCGGCCGUUCUGGUUGGGCCGGUACACGCUGCCCACGCUGAGGCGGCCCUGCUGCGCGCCGUUCCGCUCCCCACCCGGCGGGGGCGUGUCGGAGCUGCGCACCGGCAGGUAGGGCGGCUCCAGCGCGCGCGGCGGCCCGUACGCCUCGGGCGGCGGGUUGGCGUAGGGCGGGUACCAGCCCAGGCGUGGGUCUCCGCCAUGGGCCUGCGCCGCCUCGGGACCGGGGUCAGGGAGCUCCUGCCUGCCUGGAUGAAGAGGAGGUCAAGACUUUGUCCCCCACUCCGCAAGAUACCCUCUCUGUUCCGGAGCGGUGGGUCCCUCCCCUGUUAGGACCUUGUCUCCCUCAGGACUGGACCUGGAUCCUGGGCCUGCAGUCAGAUUGCCAGUUUCACUUAGAGGUGGAAAUGUCAACCCACUGGUUGGAAUGGGAAGGUGAGACAGGAUUUCACCAUGUUAGCCAGGAUGGUCUUGAUCUCCUGACCUCAUGAUCUGCCCACCUCGGCCUCCCAAAGUGCUGGGCUUACAGGCGUGAGCCACCGUGCCCGGCCAAAAAUAACUUUUAAAAACAUGAGUAUAGCAUACACACACACAAAAGUCCACAAAUCCUAGGUGUACCACUUGAUGAAUGAUCCCAACGUGAGCACACCUCUGGAUUACCACCUGGAUCAAGAAAUAGGACAUCACAGCAGCUGGCAGCUUCCAAGGAGAAGCUCUGGAAAGUUCUGCCUGUCUCAGCACCUGGCUGGAUCGGAAACGAGUUUUCUUUAACCAGAUUUUUAAUGACUGACUUAUGUGGACAAAUCAUAACUGAAUGAAUCACCUCCUUUGUUGAUUUUUUUGGGUACUUUAUUUGCUAUUAUAAAUGAUGCUGUAAUAAGCACCCUUGAAGAAAUCUUCAUAUCUGCCUCUCCUGUGUAGCAGGUCACAGUGCCUGGGUUUGGUUCUAGCCCUCAUUUGUGAACUGUGUGACUCACCAUGCCUUUUUUCUUUCUGUAAGACAGGAAUAAUGGUAAGAAUUUAAAUGGGGGUAAUAUGGAGCGCGUUUAGUUCAGAGCCUGGUGCAUACAAGCACUCAAUAAGUACUGGCGAUUAUUAGACCUUUAGAUUAAUUUAUUAGAAGUUGGAUUUCUGGUGAAAGGGUUUGAGUGUUUUUGAGGCUUUGGCACAGAAUACCCAGCUGGUCCCAGAAAGGUGGUUCCCAUUUACCUGCCCGAAGGUAAUUCACCCUUACUGAUACUGAGUACUGUUUUCUAAAAGAACAUUAAAAAUUGGAUAGGUUAAAAACAGGUGAAUACAUUUUUUUAGUUGCAUUUUUUUGGUUACCCGUGAGAGUGAACAUGUUGCCAUGUGUUUGCUGACCUCCUAAAUGGUCUAUUUGCUCCUACCUUUGUACCCCAAAAGUCUGCUCUCAAGAUGGUAGCCAGAAUGAUCCUUUUUGAGACAUAAGUCAAAAUUUCACUCUUCUCCUUAAAGCUCUGCAAUGGUUCUCAGGUUAAAAGCCAAAGUCCUGUUCAAGGCCUCCAGGGUCCUCACCACUUGGUCCCUUGCUCUUUCUGUUCUAGCCAACUUGGCCUUCUCCUGCCCCUCCGCCGCACCAUGGCAAUUUCCCCUGCUCUGUGUGGUCAACUACCUGAAUCUGUUCAAAGCUUUGCUCAAAUGUCUCCUUCCUGAUGAGACCUCCCCAGCCCCUGAGCUCCCCAUGCCUCACUCCUGAUCGCCUUACUUAACCCUUCUUUUUCUUUUUUGCCAGUAGUACUUAUCACCGUCUAAAAUACUUCAUAAUUUACUUGUUUAUUGUUUGCCCCUCUCCAAUAGAAUGUAAGCUCCUUGGGGCAGGGACCUUUGUCCUUUGUCUUGUUCACUGCUGUGUCCCAUGUGUAAACUUGUCUGGCACAGAAGAGGUGCUCGAUAAAUAUUUGUUGAGUGAAUGAAUGGUAAAUUUUCUGUUCAUAUUCUUUGACUAUUUUCUAUUGUAAUGUUCAUCUUUUUAGUAUUGGUUUAUAAGAUGUAUAUUUAGCACCUUUUCAUAUAUCACUCUUUGUCACAUAUUAUGCAACUAAUUUGUCAUUUCCAUCAAUUUUUAAAAUACUUUCUUGAUGCUUCAUUUUUAAGCUGUCAGAUUAUUAAUCUUUUCUUUAUGGUCUUGGACUUUAUUGUUGCAUAACCGCUGCCUUCACCAGGAACAUAUAAAUUUUCAAUUAAAUGUUCUUCUGAGAUUUUAUGAUUUCACUUUUUAUAUUAAACUCUUCAUUUUGUCUUCAUGUGUGGUGAGAGGUAAGAACAUAACUUUAAAGCAAAUUAACCAACUAUCCCCAAAUGAAUUAUAAAUAAAUUAAUCAUUUUCCAAUGAUCUGAAAGGCCAUUUUAUCAUACACUAAAUAUUUUUGUGUGUUUGACUGGGUUUACCGUUCUGUUCCGUUGGCCUAUCACAUCGUUCUUACAUUGGUAUUUGUUGCCCUAUUUUAAUGAUUGUAACUUUUUAAUAAGGGUUAAUGACUGAGAAUACAAGUCCCAUUGUUUUGUUUUAUUAUUUUUAUUAUUUUUUUGAGACAGGGUUUCACUCUGUCACCCAGGCUGGAGUAUAGUAGCACUAUCUCGGCUCAUUGCAACCUCUGCCUCCCUGGUUCAAGUGAUUCUCCCACCUCAACCUCCCGAGUAGCUGGGACUACAGAUGCAUGCCACCACACCCAGCUAAUUCUUGUAUUUUUAGUAGAGACAGGGUUUCACCAUGUUGACCAGGCUGGUCUUGAACUCCUGGCUUCAAGUGAUUCACCUGCCUCGAC
rnacentral:lncRNA from 1 species